AACCUGCCCAAGAGAUCGGGAUAACACCUGGAAACAGAUGCUAAUACCGGAUAACAANAGAUGAUGCCUAUCAACUGUUUAAAAGAUGGUUCUGCUAUCACUCUUGGAUGGACCUGCGGUGCAUUAGCUAGUUGGUAGGGUAACGGCCUACCAAGGCGAUGAUGCAUAGCCGAGUUGAGAGACUGAUCGGCCACAUUGGGACUGAGACACGGCCCAAACUCCUACGGGAGGCAGCAGGC
rnacentral:rRNA from 1 species